ACGCACGCUGGCGGCGUGCUUCACACCUGCCAGUCGAACGGAAAGGCCCUGCUUUUGUGGGGUGCUCGAGUGGCGAACGGGUGAGUAACACGUGAGUAACCUGCCCUUGACUUUGGGAUAACUUCAGGAAACUGGGGCUAAUACCGGAUAGGAGCUCCUGCUGCAUGGUGGGGGUUGGAAAGUUUCGGCGGUUGGGGAUGGACUCGCGGCUUAUCAGCUUGUUGGUGGGGUAGUGGCUUACCAAGGCUUUGACGGGUAGCCGGCCUGAGAGGGUGACCGGCCACAUUGGGACUGAGAUACGGCCCAGACUCCUACGGGAGGCAGCAGUGGGGAAUAUUGCACAAUGGGCGGAAGUCUGAUGCAGCAACGCCGCGUGCGGGAUGACGGCCUUCGGGUUGUAAACCGCUUUCGCCUGUGACGAAGCGUGAGUGACGGUAAUGGGUAAAGAAGCACCGGCUAACUACGUG
rnacentral:rRNA from 1 species